rnacentral:rRNA from 1 species
GAUGAACGCUAGCGACAGGCUUAACACAUGCAAGUCGAGGGGCAUCACGGUGUAGCAAUACACUGGUGGCGACCGGCGCACGGGUGAGUAACACGUAUGCAACCUGGCCUUAUCAGGGGGAUAAUCGGGGGAAACCCCGUCUAAUACCGCGUAUAUGGUAUAGAGGCAUCUUUGUACCAAGAAGGAGUGAUCUGGAUAAGGAUGGGCAUGCGGGACAUUAGGUAGAUGGCGGGGUAACGGCCCACCAUGCCUACGAUGUCUAGGGGUUCUGAGAGGAAGGUCCCCCACACUGGAACUGAGACACGGUCCAGACUCCUACGGGAGGCAGCAGUGAGGAAUAUUGGUCAAUGGUCGGAAGACUGAACCAGCCAUGCCGCGUGAAGGUCACGGCCCUAUGGGUCUUAAACUUCUUUGUAAGGGAGCAAUAAGGUUCACGUGUGGACUGAUGAGAGUACCUUACGAAUAGCAUCGGCUAACUCCGUGCCAG